UGCAGGAUUCCAGGAAAGCCUCUUCCUAUUUGCAGGUCUCCAGUUUUGUCUCUCUGAAGAGCAGGAAAUACGAGAGAAGAGCUUAUGAACCUGAUGAAAGGGUCUUGUCUUGAGCCUGUGCAAUUACCUCCUCUUCCUCCCCACAAUCCACUGAAAUGGGAAGAAAUUAUCAAGAGAGAGAAGAAAAGAAAAGAGGAAGCUUUGUAGGACUGCUGUAAAAGAGGAAAAUGUACCGUUGACGUAUAAGAAAUAUGGAACUUGGGGAACACGUGCAGCAGC